CAACCUCAACUCAUAUGGGACUACCCCCGGAAUUUAAGCAUAUUAAUUAGGGGAGGAAAAGAAACUAACCAGGAUUUUCUUAGUAGCGGCGAGCGAAAAGAAAUCAGUUCAGCACUAAGUCACUUUGUCUAUAUGGCAAACGUGAGAUGCAGUGUAUGGAGCGUCAAUAUUCUAGUAUGAGAAAUUAACGAUUUAAGUCCUUCUUAAAUGAGGCCAUUUACCCAUAGAGGGUGCCAGGCCCGUAUAACGUUAAUGAUUACUAGAUGAUGUUUCCAAAGAGUCGUGUUGCUUGAUAGUGCAGCACUAAGUGGGUGGUAAAACUCCAUCUAAAACUAAAUAUCACCAUGAGACCGAUAGUAAACAGGUACCGUGAGGAAAGUUGAAAAGAACUCUGAUUAGACAGUUAAACAGUACGUGAAACUGCUUUAGAAGGUUAAGCCCGAU
rnacentral:ncRNA from 1 species